rnacentral:rRNA from 1 species
ACGAACGCUGGCGGCAGGCUUAACACAUGCAAGUCGAACGCCCCGCAAGGGGAGUGGCAGACGGGUGAGUAACGCGUGGGAACAUACCCUUUCCUGCGGAAUAGCUCCGGGAAACUGGAAUUAAUACCGCAUACGCCCUACGGGGGAAAGAUUUAUCGGGGAAGGAUUGGCCCGCGUUGGAUUAGCUAGUUGGUGGGGUAAAGGCCUACCAAGGCGACGAUCCAUAGCUGGUCUGAGAGGAUGAUCAGCCACAUUGGGACUGAGACACGGCCCAAACUCCUACGGGAGGCAGCAGUGGGGAAUAUUGGACAAUGGGCGCAAGCCUGAUCCAGCCAUGCCGCGUGAGUGAUGAAGGCCUUAGGGUUGUAAAGCUCUUUCACCGAUGAAGAUAAUGACGGUAGUCGGAGAAGAAGCCCCGGCUAACUUCGU